GGAGUCGGCCGGACAGUCGCUCGUCGCCUGAGGCGGCGGGAGGAAAGUCCGGGCUCCACAGGGCAGGGUGCCAGGUAAUGCCUGGGCGGCGUGAGCCGACGGCCAGUGCAACAGAAAAUAUACCGCCCCGUUCGCGGGGUAAGGGUGAAAUGGUGCGGUAAGAGCGCACCGCGCUGGUGGUAACAUCAGUGGCAGUGUAAACCCCACCCGGAGCAAGACCAAAUAGGGGAACGAUGGUGUGGCCCGCACUGUUCCCGGGUAGGUCGCUUGAGGCGCGCGGUGACGCGCGUCCCAGAUGAAUGACUGUUCUCGACAGAACCCGGCUUACAGGCCGGCUCCGCUU
rnacentral:RNase_P_RNA from 1 species